rnacentral:rRNA from 1 species
GGGUUCGAUUCCGGAGAGGGAGCCUGAGAAACGGCUACCACNNNNNNGGAAGGCAGCAGGCGCGCAAAUUACCCAAUCCCGACACGGGGAGGUAGUGACAAUAAAUAACAAUACGGGGCUCUUUCGGGUCUCGUAAUUGGAAUGAGUACAAUUUAAAUCCCUUAACGAGGAACAAUUGGAGGGCAAGUCUGGUGCCAGCAGCCGCGGUAAUUCCAGCUCCAAUAGCGUAUAUUAAAGUUGUUGCAGUUAAAAAGCUCGUAGUUGAAUUUCGGGAUUGACACAUCGGCCGUGCCUUAAGGGGUAUGAACUGGUGUAGUCAAUUUCUCACCUUCUGGAGAACCGCGAUGCCCUUAAUUGGGUGUCGCGGGGAACCAGGACCUUUACUUUGAAAAAAUUAGAGUGUUUAAAGCAGGCAUUUUGCUUGAAUACAUUAGCAUGGAAUAAUAAAAUAGGACGGCAUGAUUCUAUUUUGUUGGUUUCUAGGAUCACCGUAAUGAUUAAUAGGGAUAGUUGGGGGCAUUAGUAUUCAAUUGUCAGAGGUGAAAUUCUUGGAUUUAUUGAAGACUAACUACUGCGAAAGCAUUUGCCAAGGAUGUUUUCAUUAAUCAAGAACGAAAGUUAGGGGAUCGAAGACGAUCAGAUACCGUCGUAGUCUUAACCAUAAACUAUGCCGACUAGGAAUCAGACGAUGUUAAUUUUUUAAUGACUCGUUUGGCACCUUACGGGAAACCAA